AUCCCACAAGCCUCUGCAGGUGCAGAUCACAAAAAGCUGUGCCACCCCACACUGCCCCACCCUCUAUGGUUGGCUCCUAUGAAUGUCCUGUGGGUUGAGGGGGUGCCCCCAGCCAGCGAGGCGGAGCUCUUCUGCCUGAAGAUUGUGCUUUCAAAGAGCAGUGCCUGGAGCCAGGAAGCAGCCCUUUUCCAAGCCUCUGUGGGCUUCGCCUAGAAGCCCCAUGAUAAUCCUUUGUGGGCUGUUAAUAAGCAAGUUGAACCCCAUAAUCACCCACCGCUUAGCUUCCUGGCUUUAAUUUCCAUAGAGGCUGGAGAAACAGUGGCUGAGGGUUUUGCUUCCAGACAAAAGCAGCAGACGUUUACCCUGCAGACAUCUCGAAGCGGGGCUGGCACUGCCCCACGUGGUCCGCCCUACGGCUGCUGCGCACACAGGCCUAAGGGGCCUGGCUGAGUGAAGGCUGCACGCACUGCCCUGGAAACCCAUCAGCAUGCUCAGAGCCCCCGGAAACAAAAGCAGUUCUGCAGGUGCUUCCAGAGCCUUCUCAGGCAGGCAUCAUCUCAGCAAAAGGCUGGGGGCUGCCCCAGCUCCUCUCCUCCCAGAGCCACUCCUGACCUUUCUGACAUUCCUGUUUGGGGACAACAUACAGACCCCUGUGACCUCAUUCUUUUCCCCGCCCUGUGGACCCCCCCAGUCCAAGGAGUGUGGGGCUUCAUUAUUUGAGGCAAUGCUCACUAGGCAGAUAAUUUCUAUUUCAGCAGGACCAACCUGCCUUUAGCUCAGUUAGGAAGUCUCCUUCGGGCAAUCGCCCCUGCCAUAUGGAACGCCUCUCUAAGGGAUGAUACUUGCCUAUUCUUUUCAGCCCUUUUACAAAAACAAAACAAACAAACAAACCAAAAAAGCCAGUAGCUUGCUAGUUCUGAGUUGCAGCCAGGUCCCUGAGCCUGUCUGAACCUCUAUCCCUUGUCUGGAGUGCGGUUGGACCCAGCUCUGCCACAACCUGCGUGGCCUCCUGUGAGUCACCCUGCUCUCUGAGCAUCAGUCUUCUCCUUAAAGUGGGCUGACAAUCCCUGCCCUACCUACCUUUAUACCUAUGGUUCUGGAAGGAUGAAAGAGAGAUUGCAGGGGACACAGAUUUGAUCCUUGGUCCAGGAAGAUUCCGCAUGCUGCGGGGCCACUAAGCCCAUGUACCACAACUACUGAGUCCAUGCUCUAGAGCCUGGGACCCUCAACUACUGAUCCUGCGCUCUGGAGCCCACACACAGCAAUUACUGAAGCCCGCGUGCUCUAGAGCCUGUGCCCUGCAACGAGAAGCCACUGCAAUGAGAAGCUUGUGCACCGCAGCUGGAGAGUAGCCCUCGCUCUCCAUAGCUAGGGAAAGCCCAUGUGCAGCAAUGAAGACCCAGUGUAGUUAAAAAUAAAGAAAUAAAA
ensembl:lncRNA